AGAGUUUGAUCAUGGCUCAGAAUGAACGCUGGCGGCAUGCCUAACACAUGCAAGUCGAACGAAGGCUUCGGCCUUAGUGGCGCACGGGUGCGUAACGCGUGGGAAUCUGCCCCUUGGUUCGGAAUAACAGUUGGAAACGACUGCUAAUACCGGAUGAUGACGUAAGUCCAAAGAUUUAUCGCCGAGGGAUGAGCCCGCGUAGGAUUAGGUAGUUGGUGUGGUAAAGGCGCACCAAGCCGACGAUCCUUAGCUGGUCUGAGAGGAUGAUCAGCCACACUGGGACUGAGACACGGCCCAGACUCCUACGGGAGGCAGCAGUGGGGAAUAUUGGACAAUGGGCGAAAGCCUGAUCCAGCAAUGCCGCGUGAGUGAUGAAGGCCUUAGGGUUGUAAAGCUCUUUUACCCGGGAUGAUAAUGACAGUACCGGGAGAAUAAGCUCCGGCUAACUCCGUGCCAGCAGCCGCGGUAAUACGGAGGGAGCUAGCGUUAUUCGGAAUUACUGGGCGUAAAGCGCACGUAGGCGGCUUUGUAAGUAAGAGGUGAAAGCCCAGAGCUCAACUCUGGAAUUGCCUUUUAGACUGCAUCGCUUGAAUCAUGGAGAGGUCAGUGGAAUUCCGAGUGUAGAGGUGAAAUUCGUAGAUAUUCGGAAGAACACCAGUGGCGA
rnacentral:rRNA from 1 species